rnacentral:rRNA from 1 species
GACGAACGCUGGCGGCGUGCUUAACACAUGCAAGUCGAACGGAAAGGCCUGCUUUCCCUUGUGGAUUGCGGGUACUCGAGUGGCGAACGGGUGAGUAACACGUGAGUGAUCUGCCCCCAACUUGGGUAUAAGCCUGGGAAACUGGGUCUAAUUCCCGAUAGGACUGCAGGGUGGUGCCGGUGGUGGAAAACGAUUUUCUAGUGGUUGGGGAUGAGCUCGCGGCCUAUCAGCUUGUUGGUGGGGUAAUGGCCUACCAAGGCGGCGACGGGUAGCCGGCCUGAGAGGGUGGACGGCCACAUUGGGACUGAGAUACGGCCCAGACUCCUACGGGAGGCAGCAGUGGGGAAUAUUGCACAAUGGGCGGAAGCCUGAUGCAGCGACGCCGCGUGGGGGAUGACGGCCUUCGGGUUGUAAACUCCUUUCGACCGCGAGGAAGCCACCUGGUUGGAAGGGUGGUGACGGUAGUGGUAGAAGAAGCACCGGCUAACUACGUG